GGAAUAUUGCACAAUGGGCGCAAGCCUGAUGUAGCCAUGCCGCGUGUAUGAAGAAGGCCUUCGGGUUGUAAAGUACUUUCAGUGGGGAGGAAGGCGAUGAAGUUAAUAACUUCGUCGAUUGACGUUACCCGCAGAAGAAGCACCGGCUAACUCCGUGCCAGCAGCCGCGGUAAUACGGAGGGUGCAAGCGUUAAUCGGAAUUACUGGGCGUAAAGCGCACGCAGGCGGUCUGUCAAGUCGGAUGUGAAAUCCCCGGGCUCAACCUGGGAACUGCAUUCGAAACUGGCAGGCUAGAGUCUUGUAGAGGGGGGUAGAAUUCCAGGUGUAGCGGUGAAAUGCGUAGAGAUCUGGAGGAAUACCGGUGGCGAAGGCGGCCCCCUGGACAAAGACUGACGCUCAGGUGCGAAAGCGUGGGGAGCAAACAGGAUUAGAUACCCUUG
rnacentral:rRNA from 1 species